rnacentral:rRNA from 1 species
UACGGAGGGGGCAAGCGUUGUCCGGAAUCAUUGGGCGUAAAGCGCGUGUAGGCGGUUCGGUAAGUCCGCUGUGAAAGUCGGGGGGCUCAACCCUCGGAUGCCGGUGGAUACUGUCGGGCUUGAGUACGGAAGAGGCGAGUGGAAUUCCUGGUGUAGCGGUGAAAUGCGCAGAUAUCAGGAGGAACACCAAUGCGAAGGCAGCUCGCUGGGACGUUACUGACGCUGAGACGCGAAAGCGUGGGGAGCAAA